CAGCAGCCGCGGGAAUACGUAGGUGGCAAGCGUUGUCCGGAAUUAUUGGGCGUAAAGCGCGCGCAGGCGGAUCGGUCAGUCUGUCUUAAAAGUUCGGGGCUUAACCCCGUGAUGGGAUGGAAACUGCCAAUCUAGAGUAUCGGAGAGGAAAGUGGAAUUCCUAGUGUAGCGGUGAAAUGCGUAGAUAUUAGGAAGAACACCAGUGGCGAAGGCGACUUUCUGGACGAAAACUGACGCUGAGGCGCGAAAGCCAGGGGAGCGAAUGGGAUUAGAGACCCGAGUAGUCCCUGUCUCUUAUACA
rnacentral:rRNA from 1 species